AAGAAGGAUGGUUCUUGGAGGAUGCGUGUUGACUGUUGAGCUGUCAACAAGAUUACGGUAAAGUAUAAAUAUCUCAUUCCUAGGCUAGAUGACAUGUCAGAUGAAUUGCAUGGUGCUUAUGUCUUUUUCGAAAAUUGAUUUGAAAAGUGGAUACCACCAGAUUAAGAUGAAAGUAGGAGAUGAGUGAAAAACUGCUUUCAAAACAAAAUAUGAUUUAUAUGAGUGGUUAGUUAUGCCUUUUGGAUUGACUAACGCACCUAGUACAUUCAUGCGAUUAAUGAACCCUGCUUUGCGUGCAAUCAUUUGUAAGUUUGUAGUGGUAUACUUUAAUGAUAUAUUAAUGUACAGUAAAAAUAUGGAAGAGCAUAUGCUUCAUUUGAGGUGUGUGUCUGAAGUGCUUAGAAAAGAGAAAUUAUAUGCUAAUCUUAAAAAGUGUACU
rnacentral:misc_RNA from 1 species